CACGUAGGGGGCAAGCGUUGUCCGGAUUUAUUGGGCGUAAAGAGCUCGUAGGCGGUUUCGUAAGUCGGAUGUGAAAUCCCCGGGCUCAACCUGGGAAUUGCAUUCGAUACUGGAUAGCUAGAGUUCGGCAGAGGGAAGCGGAAUUUCUGGUGUAGCGGUGAAAUGCGUAGAUAUCUGGAGGAACACCGGUGGCGAAGGCGGCAUCCUGGACCAACACUGACGCUGAGGAGCGAAAGCCAGGGGAGCAAACGGG
rnacentral:rRNA from 1 species